GUCGGGAAACAUGAACAUGUGGAGACUGAUGCACAUUUCUCUAACCAUCAGAGAGAAACGGCUCUGUACAAAUAAAUUAAUCAGGCCCAGCUACACUUCCUGUCUGAGCUCAGAGAGUAAUCCAUCAAUCAUCGACCAAUCAGGGGGAACACGGGAACAAUCAGCAGAGAAGAAGAAGAAGUCCAUGAAUCACUGCACGCCACCGCCGCCGCCGCCGCUGCUAAAGACUCCCAGAAAGGUGUUCGCUUUAGGCGCCAAAACAAUCCCACAUGAGUUCAUGUUUAAUGGUCAAAUCCCAGCGAGUAAAGACAGAGUUUGGUUUUCUGUCUGCAGGAGCUUCAGCUGCUCACAGGAACAGAAGUUCAGAUUCAGCUGAAACUGUGAACACAUGAGGCGACGUUCAGCUGUUCACUUCAGGUCAGAGACUGAGAUCUGAGGAAGUCAAGGUUAGUUUAGUUAAACUUGGUUUAGUUUAGUUAAACUUGGUUUAGUUUAGUUAAACUUGGUUUAGUUUAGUCUGGUUUGGGUUCAGUUUAAAGCUGAGGUUCAGAUGGGUUUGGGUCAGUUGGUUAAAGGGUUAGUAAAGUUAGUUUAAGUGUCUUUUUUCUGCGUAAUUUCUGUCUAACUUUUGUCUUAUUUUUGUCUAAUUAUUUCUGUAUUAUUUUGU